rnacentral:rRNA from 1 species
UACGUAGGUGGCAAGCGUUGUCCGGAUUUACUGGGCGUAAAGAGCGCGCAGGCGGUCGUUCAAGUCGCGUGUGAAAGCCCCCGGCUCAACUGGGGAGGGUCACGCGAUACUGAUCGACUCGAAGGCAGGAGAGGGUAGUGGAAUUCCCGGUGUAGUGGUGAAAUGCGUAGAUAUCGGGAGGAACACCAGUGGCGAAGGCGACUACCUGGCCCGAUACUGACACUCAGACACGACAGCGUGGGGAGCGAACAGG